rnacentral:rRNA from 1 species
AUUCCGAACCCGGAAGUUAAGCUUCUCUGCGCCGAUGGUACUGCACUCGGGAGGGUGUGGGAGAGUAGGUCGCCGCCGGAC